rnacentral:rRNA from 1 species
AUUGAACGCUGGCGGCAUGCUUUACACAUGCAAGUCGAACGGCAGCGCGGGCUUCGGCCUGGCGGCGAGUGGCGAACGGGCGAGUAAUGCAUCGGAACGUGCCCAGUAGUGGGGGAUAGCCCGGCGAAAGCCGGAUUAAUACCGCAUACGACCUGAGGGUGAAAGCGGGGGACCGAAAGGCCUCGCGCUAUUGGAGCGGCCGAUGUCGGAUUAGCUAGUUGGUGGGGUAAAGGCUUACCAAGGCGACGAUCCGUAGCUGGUCUGAGAGGACGACCAGCCACACUGGGACUGAGACACGGCCCAGACUCCUACGGGAGGCAGCAGUGGGGAAUUUUGGACAAUGGGGGCAAUCCUGAUCCAGCCAUGCCGCGUGCGGGAAGAAGGCCUUCGGGUUGUAAACCGCUUUUGUUCGGGAAGAAAUCCUCUGGGCUAAUACCCCGGGGGGAUGACGGUACCGGAAGAAUAAGCACCGGCUAACUACGUG